CCUACGGGAGGCUGCAGUGGGGAAUAUUGGGCAAUGGACGCGAGCCUGAACCAGCCAAGUAGCGUGAAGGAUGACUGCCCUACGGGUUGUAAAUUCUUUUUAUAAAGAAAUAAAGUGAGGCACGUGAGCCUUUUUGUAUGUACUUUAUGUAUAAGGAUCGGCUAACUCCGGUCCAGCAGCCGCGGUAAUACGGUGGAUCCGAGCGUUAUCCGGAUUUAUUGGGUUUAAAGGGAGCGUAGAGGGGUUGUUAAGUAAGUUGUGAAAGUCUGCGGCUCAACCGUAAAAUGGCAAUUGAUACUGGCAGGCUUGAGUACAGUUGAGGUAGGCGGAAUUCGUGGUGUAGCGGUGAAAUGCUUAGAUAUCACGAAGAACUCCGAUUGCGAAGGCAGCUUACUAGACUGCCACUGACAUUGAUGCUCGAAAGUGUGGGUAUCAAACAGGAUUAGAUACCCGAGUAGUC
rnacentral:rRNA from 1 species